AUUGAACGCUGGCGGCAGGCUUAACACAUGCAAGUCGAGCGAGCGGCGGACGGGUGAGUAAUGUCUGGGAAACUGCCUGAUGGAGGGGGAUAACUACUGGAAACGGUAGCUAAUACCGCACACCAUCAGAUGUGCCCAGAGGGGCAUAGCUAGUAGGUGGGGUAAUGGCUCACCUAGGCGACGAUACCUAGCUAGUCCGAGAGGAUGACCGGCCAAACUGUAACUGCGACACGGUCCGUACUCCUACGGGAGGCAGCCGUGGGAAAUAUUGCACAAGGGGCGCAAGCCUGAUGACGCCAUGCCGCGUGUGUGAAGAAGGCCUUCGGGUUGUAAAGCACGUUCAGCGAGGAGGCGUUACUCGCAGAAGAAGCACCGGCUAACUCCGUGCCAGCAGCCGCGGUAAUAC
rnacentral:rRNA from 1 species